rnacentral:lncRNA from 1 species
AUGGUGGCAGCACGGGAGGCCCCCGAGGUGCCAGUGCUGGGCUGGGGGUCCAGUCCCACUCUGUGGUUCCCCCGUUGCCGUGGUGAACAGGGGCUGGGGCUGGUUUGGGAAGGGGCCCUGGGGCAGGGGGAGUCAGCACAGACAAGGAGACUUCCACUGCUGAGGAAAGUGGGCUCAGCGUGGGCUGGUGGGACCAGCGGGACCCCUGGGGACAAUGGGACACUGGGAACAGCAGCUGUGGGUCCCUCUCGGGACACUGGUGCCGUUUUCUGGUCUGGAGAGGGGAAAACGCCCUGCAUGGGCUGGGCAGGAGGUGAGGGCAGCCGUGCAGGCAGUGGCAGUGGUUUAGGCAGCAAUAUGGGCAGGGUGCAGGCAGCACUGCAGGCAGAGGCACAGGCAGAGGCGCAGGCAGAGGUGCAGGCAGAGGCAGAGGCAGCAAUGCAGGCAAGGUCCAGGCAGAGGCACAGGCAGAGGUGCAGGCAGAGGCAGAGGCACAGGCAGAGGUGUAGGCAGAUGCACAGGCAGAGGCACAGGCAGAGGUGCAGGCAGAGGCAGAGGCACAGGCAGAGGUGUAGGCAGAUGCACAGGCAGAGGCACAGGCAGAGGUGCAGGCAGAGGCAGAGGCACAGGCAGAGGUGUAGGCAGAUGCACAGGCAGAGGCACAGGCAGAGGUGCAGGCAGAGGCAGAGGCACAGGCAGAGGUGUAGGCAGAUGCACAGGCAGAGGCACAGGCAGAGGUGCAGGCAGAGGCAGAGGCACAGGCAGAGGUGUAGGCAGAUGCACAGGCAGAGGCACAGGCAGAGGUGCAGGCAGAGGCAGAGGCACAGGCAGAGGUGUAGGCAGAUGCACAGGCAGAGGCACAGGCAGAGGUGCAGGCAGAGGCAGAGGCACAGGCAGAGGUGUAGGCAGAUGCACAGGCAGAGGCACAGGCAGAGGUGCAGGCAGAGGCAGAGGCACAGGCAGAGGUGUAGGCAGAUGCACAGGCAGAGGCACAGGCAGAGGUGCAGGCAGCAAUGCAGGCAAGGUCCAGGCAGGGGCACAGGCAGAGGUGCAGUUAGAGGUGUAGGCAGAGGU